rnacentral:rRNA from 1 species
CAAUAGCGUAUAUUAAAGUUGUUGCAGUUAAAAAGCUCGUAGUUGGAUUUGUGGCGUACGGUGUGUUCCGGGCACUUGUCGUCUGAGUAACCUGCUGUUGCCAUCCUUGGGUGGAACCUGUGUGGCAUUAGGUUGUCGUGCAGGGGAUGCCCAUCAUUUACUGUGAAAAAAUUAGAGUGUUCAAAGCAGGCUUAUGCCGUUGAAUAUAUUAGCAUGGAAUAAUGAGAUAGGACUUUUUUGCUAUUUUGUUGGUUUGCGCAAGAAGGUAAUGAUUAAUAGGGACAGUUGGGGGUAUUCGUAUUCCAUUGUCAGAGGUGAAAUUCUUGGAUUUUUGGAAGACGAACUACUGCGAAAGCAUUUACCAAGGAUGUUUUCAUUAA